rnacentral:rRNA from 1 species
AGAGUUUGAUCAUGGCUCAGAUUGAACGCUGGCGGCAUGCCUUACACAUGCAAGUCGAACGGCAGCACGGGGGUAACCCUGGUGGCGAGUGGCGAACGGGUGAGUAAUACAUCGGAACGUGUCCUGGAGUGGGGGAUAGCCCGGCGAAGCCGGAUUAAAUACCGCAUACGCUCGAGAGAGGAAAGCGGGGGAUCUUCGGA